UCUCAUUAUUGCGUCUUAUUAUUUUUUUCCCUUAUAUCCAGCCUGAAAAGGGCUUGGCAUUUAUCUGCGUGCAGGCACCUGAUCGGACUGGACUGGCGCAGACCAUCUGGGGACGGGCUCUGGGCACCAGCGCUGCAGACAAGAAGCUCCUCCAAUUAACUUUUCAGGCUGAAAAUCCGGUGAUUUGCAGAUCCAGAACAGUUUGUCUCUUUGAUGGCACUGUCAGCUCAGACACCCCCGCACUGUGACACCGAGGGGCUGGCAGCCACUCUGGAAGGGUGCACGGACAGGACCUGACCCCUGCAGAUGCUUCCUGGCUCUUCUGGCCUUCCUUCUCACCAGGUCUUCGCUGAGACGGGUGGUCAAAUGGGCCAAGUCUCCUUGCUGAGCACCUACACGAGCGAAAGGAAACAGAGACGCAGAGCGAUCGAUGUGGUGCCUCCUAGACAAGCGGCUGCAGAGCAUCCUGUGCCGGGGGGAAGGAGGAUGUUGCUGCUGCAGGGCGAUGAGCCCUGGCAGAGACCCUGAAGUCACCUCCCGCCGCGGGAUGUGUGGUCUGCUCUGCAUCAUUCCUGGAGGUUCAUAAGUCCUUCGGGAGCACACAUAGCUCAGUUGAGGCAGAACAGAGCCACGGUCACUCGUGGAGCCGCCGGGGGCUCCCAAAGCCCCGCAUCUCCCCCGUGCACAACCGGAUCCAGGUGUCGAGAGGGAAGGUGGUGCGCCUGGCUUCCAGGCAGCGAAACUCCCUGUGGGCUGCAGGGUGAGGCCGGUUUCUGGGUCUGGGAUGUGCUGGAGCAAAGCCGAGCUCGCCGCACGCUGCAGCAGGCUAUCCAUCCCAUCGUCUCCCCCCCCCCCCCCCCCAAAAAACAACCUUUGGUCUGGGAUGCGUGGGACGCCCGCCUCCCCACGGGGCGCAGAAAAGGAAGAUAAGCCAGUGCUUCAAAGGCAACGCUGGUUCUGCAGGUACAGGGGGAGAGAAAGUCC